GACGAACGCUGGCGGCGUGCCUAAUACAUGCAAGUAGAACGCACAGUUUAUACCUUAGCUUGCUACACCAUAGACUGUGAGUUGCGAACGGGUGAGUAACGCGUAGGUAACCUGCCUGGUAGCGGGGGAUAACUAUUGGAAACGAUAGCUAAUACCGCAUAAUAUUAAUUAUUGCAUGAUAAUUAAUUGAAAGGUGCAAUUGCACCACUACCAGAUGGACCUGCGUUGUAUUAGCUAGUAGGUGAGGUAACGGCUCACCUAGGCGACGAUACAUAGCCGACCUGAGAGGGUGAUCGGCCACACUGGGACUGAGACACGACCCAGACUCCUACGGGAGGCAGCAGUAGGGAAUCUUCGGCAAUGGACGAAAGUCUUACCGAGCAACGCCGCGUGAGUGAAGAAGGUUUUCGGAUCGUAAAGCUCUGUUGUAAGAGAAGAACGGGUGUGAGAGUGGAAAGUUCACACUGUGACGGUAUCUUACCAGAAAGGGACGGCUAACUACGUG
rnacentral:rRNA from 1 species